AUUGAACGCUGGCGGCAGGCUUAACACAUGCAAGUCGAGCGGAGCGAGGGUGCUUGCACCUUAGCUUAGCGGCGGACGAGUGAGUAAUGCCUAGGAAUCUGCCUAUUAGUGGGGGACAACAUUCCGGAAGGAAUGCUAAUACCGCAUACGCCCUACGGGGGAAAGCAGGGGAUCUUCGGACCUUGCGCUAAUAGAGGAGCCUAAGUCGGAUUAGCUAGUUGGUGGGGUAAAGGCCUACCAAGGCGACGAUCUGUAGCGGGUCUGAGAGGAUGAUCCGCCACACUGGGACUGAGACACGGCCCAGACUCCUACGGGAGGCAGCAGUGGGGAAUAUUGGACAAUGGGCGGAAGCCUGAUCCAGCCAUGCCGCGUGUGUGAAGAAGGCCUUUUGGUUGUAAAGCACUUUAAGCGAGGAGGAGGCUCUUAAGGUUAAUACCCUUGAUGAGUGGACGUUACUCGCAGAAUAAGCACCGGCUAAUUCUGUGCCAGCCGCCGCCGUAAAAC
rnacentral:rRNA from 1 species